UACGAAGGGGGCUAGCGUUGUUCGGAAUUACUGGGCGUAAAGCGUACGUAGGCGGAUUUGUAAGUCAGGGGUGAAAUCCCGGGGCUCAACCUCGGAACUGCCUUUGAUACUGCAAGUCUCGAGUCCGAGAGAGGUGAGUGGAAUUCCUAGUGUAGAGGUGAAAUUCGUAGAUAUUAGGAAGAACACCAGUGGCGAAGGCGGCUCACUGGCUCGGUACUGACGCUGAGGUGCGAAAGCGUGGGGAGCAAACAGG
rnacentral:rRNA from 1 species